UAGUCAUAUGCUUGUCCCAAAGAUUAAGCCAUGCAUGUGCAAGUAUAUACCUAUAUACGGAGAAACUGCGAAAGGCUCAUUAAAUCGGUGAUAAUUUAGGUGGAGGAAGUGUUACAUGGAUAACCGUGGUAAUUCUAUGGCUAAUACAUGCAUGUUGUUGCGAGACAGCGAGUAUUUAUUAGAUAAGACCGAGGUUGGGCGAGGAAACUCGCUCGAUACAUGGGGAACCAUAAUAACUGACAAUGAUCGUAUGGCCGAGGGCUGACGACACUCCACACAAAUUUCUGCCCCAUCAACUCUUGAUGGUAGGAUAGGGGCCUACCAUGGUGGCAACGGGUAACGGGGAAUUGGGGUUUGAUUCCGGAGAGGGAGCCUGAGAAAUGGCUACCACUUCCAAGGAAGGCAGCAGGCGCGCAAAUUACCCAAUCCCGAGACGGGGAGGUAGUGACAGUAAAUAACAAAGACGGUCUCUUUGAGAUGGUCUAUUGGAAUGAGAGGAAGAUAAAGAGGUUUUCGAGUAACGAUU
rnacentral:rRNA from 1 species